rnacentral:lncRNA from 1 species
GUACCCUGCAGGUGCAUAUCAAGCGAUAUUUGCUUUGCCUUCAUCAAAACUCAGUCCAUAUUCUCUGCGAUACCAAGCAAGAAGAGACUUUCUCGACGGUCCUGUACUCGUCGGAACAUCAAACAAUUCGCCACUGUUUCUUUUCUCGUUAUCUGUUAGUAGUUUUUUUAUUUUGUUUUUCAGUUCCUCGUUGUUGUCUUUGGGUAGUGAACUAAGGAAAUCCGGAUAUAUACUUUGCGCUAUUUGUUUCGAAUUGGCAAAGUGAGUGUGUUUGACUCGAGUUUUGCAGCAUUGAUUAACACAUCCAAAGGCUUCUGGAUAACGAUGCUUUCUUGCUUGAUUGUAAUACUUACUACAAAGUGGAUCGGACAUUGUUCUGGGUCUAAGCUCAUCUCUUCUGACUUGUUCUACUUUUGUUUGAUUCAGAAUAACUUUGCUGUUAUCUCUGACAUGACAAUUGUCCUGUAAAGAUGCCUUAUGCAUGAUAGAUCCUCUUCACUUGGUUCAGCAGCUACGAGUUUAACCAAACCUUUGCGUUGUUAGUAGUGGUUUACAUUAAGCCUUGUUUGGGUUAAGUUUGAGUUAAUCGAGACGACUGCUAAGUUAUUAAAGAUGGAUGGAUUCCCUACAAUCCAGUGCAACUGAUUGAAUCAAUUAGCGCUUGUUACAACACCUUGCCAUAUCAACUCACCCUCGAUAUAACAAUCAAACACAGUAAUAUUAUGUCCAACAACUAAAGGAACGUAAACAAACAGCUUCGAUGAUAAUGUCUUACAGUGUCAUGCAGAAUGCGUCCAGCAGUGUCCUCAAAUUAUGCAAAUCACUUCCCUAAGGUAAUGUUACCAUGGAAACAAACAACUACGAAACAAAAGACUCAGGAAUUUCUGCGCAAAGGUUAUUGUUUUGCACAAAAGGCUGAUCUGUGCAUCAUUUCAAAAGGGACAUGUAUGUGCUGAUGACGAGCUGUGAUUUUAUGAAAGCUGUUUACAGCUGGUAUGAAGAUGCAGUCAAGGGUCUCCCUAAUCUCGUUUUUGUUGCUAGAGAUAUAUAUGGAAGCAAAAGCGAAUCAGAUGAAACUGAAUCAUUUCAUUAGACGCUGUUGACGUCAUCAUGUUUCCAUGGUGAUACGAUAUCCCUUAAAAGCUCACUAUCAACACAAAGCAUUCAGUUUAAACAGUUUGUGCAUUAUGUGCCGUUUUACAUAUGACCAGUGCUCGAUCGAGUGUUUGACUGUCAAUGUUUCUAAUAAGGAAUCGUUUAGAUUAAGAGCUGUCAAUAAGGUUUUGAGAGUUCUCCCUACUAUUGACGAACUACAGGAGGAUGCCGGGAAGGAUGAGAGUGAAACUACAAGCAAAUAUUGCUCGCCGAUAAGCAAUCUGGGAACAUUUCUCCAGUCCAACAAUGGUAGCAAGGAUGGUGAAUAUUGGCUUUUUAACAAAACCCCAACCUUUGAUAAGUUAACUUACAAAAGAAAAAAAGAGCUAAACCGCACAUCAGGCUUUCAAGGGUUCGGAGAUUUCUUCCCUCAGGAUUUUACCAGCGAAUUCAGCGUCAAUGAUACAGCAGGGAUUGGUAUCAAGAAAUACCUGGAAAAACAACAACUUGAAUUUGAUAAACUAAACUGUAGGGAGCAAGAGUUGAAAGUAAUUCACAAGAACCAAUGUCCUGAAGUUCAGUCAUGGCUGCAUUUCUUUGGGUAAAAAAGAAAAAGGAGUACCAGCUUACAGUAUUGAAUUGCUAUUAACAUAUACAGUAUUUUGAAUGAAUAUUAACUUGUAGAAAACCUGAGCACAUCAGUGCAAGAAACACACGGACAUCCAAGACAUCAUAUUGCGUCAUCCGUACAUUGAUGACACUCAAUGUGUGUUGGAUUAUACAGGAAAGACUUCAUUAAAAAAAACAACCUCGAUAGAAAACCAUGGAUUCACUGAUAAGGUAAUCAGAAAGAGACUGGUUUUCUGGAAACGAUUAUCAGAAGGGAGAGGAAAAAAGUUUCACUGACUUUAUAUCUGAUAUGUAUUCGCUCUGUGAAUGUCCUAAUAUGCACUAACUGUUCAAAUAUCACUUGUUUAUAUAGAAUAUUAUUUACUAAAGUUAUAAAUUAAUUGUAAAUAUAACACAUUAACAGUCUGUCUAUUGUUGCUGGUCCUUUUCACGUCCCACAGUCCUAAUGUAAAUUCAAUGUAAAUAUUUUUUAAACAAAUUAUCUCCCAACAUUCUAACUAAGACUGAAAAAGAACGAUUUUAACGGUAUGAAAUAGUAUAAUCAUUUUAACAGCGAGAAGUAAAGUGUCUUUUAGAAGGAAACCAAAUGGGUUACUAGUAAAGAAAAUCUUUUGCGCACUUGUGCUCCAUGUCAAUAUAUGUCCACGAAAUUACGUCUGAAACAGAGCGCAUUUCUAGAAAAUAACGCUACAGGAUUUUGACUAGAGAGAAAUACAUCAAAACAAUAAUGACGUUAUACGAAUAUUGGCAUAUUAUCUCAGCUGGAUAUGAUCAAUAUAUUUUGACAUUGUUGUCUCAAAACCCCCGUAAUAAGUUACUGUCAAUAUCGACAUUUUUCUAGAAAUCUCCCGCCAAAAAUCUCUGGCGAGUUUUACUCGGUGAAAACAGACAGAUUUUUUUUCUUUGUAGUCAAAUCCACACACCAUACUUAAAUUGAACCUUCUCUUCCCUAAUGCUUGUAUUUACAAUAAUGUCUUUCUAAAUAUAUAAAAUCAAUUAAUGCUUUGACUGGCGGCUUUUUCCUGUGAAACGUUUAAUGUCAAAAAUGCAUUUCGCAACAUGGCGUAUAUUAUUUUUAUGUUGAUGGUGGACGUGGCGCCUUGCACGCUCUAUCGCACCAGCUGAUACACGAUACUCUUUUUGUCAAAAUGUUUGCGAAAUACA